rnacentral:rRNA from 1 species
AUUGAACGCUGGCGGCAGGCCUAACACAUGCAAGUCGAGCGGUAGAGAGGUGCUUGCAUCUCUUGAGAGCGGCGGACGGGUGAGUAAUGCCUAGGAAUCUGCCUAGUGGUGGGGGAUAACGUUCGGAAACGGACGCUAAUACCGCAUACGUCCUACGGGAGAAAGCGGGGGGAUCUUCGGACCUCGCGCCAUUAGAUGAGCCUAGGUCGGAUUAGCUAGUUGGUGAGGUAAUGGCUCACCAAGGCGGACGAUCCGUAACUGGUCUGAGAGGAUGAUCAGUCACACUGGAACUGAGACACGGUCCAGACUCCUACGGGAGGCAGCAGUGGGAAUAUGGACAAUGGGACGGAAACGGACCCGUACGGAUUACCCCGAAC